CUAUACGGUUUAUGUAUAUAUUUUUUUCCGAUUAAUACGGUCCGUGAGAUUACUUUCCGGGAUUUUACGGUCUCCCAAUAACCGUCCCGGCCGCAACGAGUUUAACGCUAUCUAUAAUAAUAAUUGUAAAUAUGUUUCACUUACUGUCAAAACGGGCUACAUAAUUGCGUUGUUUCCACGAAAGUCGUAAUGAUACUUGUAUACAGAUCACUAGUCUAUUAAUAUAAGAUCAAUGAUAAGCACGGACCACUGACAUAGAGAUUUGAGACAGGUUUCUGGGCCUAACGAUCAUCCAACAACACCCACAUUCCUUCAACUUUAUUAUAUGCUAUCAAUGUACUCUUUGGUGAAACCUCCAAAAACUGGAAACUGUACAAUAGAAGGUGAGAAUCAAUUAUAAAAAAUAUCAACAUUUAACAUAUAACUUUAAUCAUAGUAGGUACUAUAUAAAAACAAAAAAUAAUUUUAAUAAUUACAAUUUUCAGAAACAAUUCCUAUAAUUUCAAUUAAUGAUCCAGAAAAUUUGUCUGAAAGAAUUACUUAAGUGAAUAAACUAAAAAAUAAAAUUAACAAAAUUAUUCAAGAUGACUGUUGGAAUUUGAAUGACAUUUUGUUGUAACACAGUUAUACAGAUUCAAAAGUUGUUGAGCGUUUUUUUUUUUGGUUGGGUAAAAUAAAUGAUUUAUUCGUUUCUUUUUCAAUGGAUAUUAAUACAAAAACAAAUAUUAAUUAUUAUUUUCCCUAUAUUUAUUAUAAAAAUUUGAAGUUUCACAACUGUAUGUAUAGACAUUCACAAAAUCCUUUCAUAAAAAAAUGUUAACAAUAAUUAAUUGCGCUGCACAAUAAUAUCUCUAAUUAUUCAAUUUAUUUGUGUUUAAUGUUCAUAUAGAUAUUAUAUUAUUAUAAAAAGUAAUAAUGCAAUACGGUUUAAAUAAGUGACAGUAUUGAAAUAUGUAACAAUA